AGACAGGCAACAUAGCAGAAUCGUCCACUGCUGAAUUUGUGGACAGUCAAGAUUUCAAGACUAAAAUCAAUCAGUCCGCAGAGCACACAGAAGAGCAUCGAGGUGAAAGAAAGGAUGUGCAAACCAGACGAAUGAAGGGCAAGGAGCGUGAGGUGGAGCUCUGGAAACAGACAAUCCAUCAAUUCUUUAACCAUUUUUUCUUCCCGGCGUUUGAUCAUCAUCAGAUAGUUUCCAGCAACAUGAAGGAGGAGAGGCUUCGACAGGAAGCCCAGAGACGCAUCGCUCUGGCUAAAGCUAAACAAAGAGCCAGGGAGAAGGAGCUUUAGAAGAUUGACGAGAGAUGCAGCAGAAAAAAUCUGACGAACUCUAGAUGAAGCUCAUCGUUCUGUACCUGAACUACUCACAGCC